GUCGAGAAUCUUUCACAAUGGGGGCAACCCUGAUGGAGCGACGCCGCGUGGAGGAUAAGGUCUUCGGAUUGUAAACUCCUGUCAUGCGUGAACAAGGUUGCUUGGUUAAUACCUGGGCAAAUUGAUGGUAACUCAAGAGGAAGAGACGGCUAACUCUGUGCCAGCAGCCGCGGUAAUACAGAGGUCUCAAGCGUUGUUCGGAAUCACUGGGCGUAAAGGGUGCGUAGGUGGCGUGGUAAGUCAGAUGUGAAAGCCCGGGGCUCAACCUCGGAACUGCAUCCGAUACUGCCAUGCUAGAGUACUGGAGAGGUGACUAGAAUUCUCGGUGUAGCAGUGAAAUGCGUAGAUAUCGAGAGGAAUACCAAAGGCGUAGGCAGGUCACUGGACAGUUACUGACACUGAGGCACGAAGGCCAGGGGAGCGAACGGGAUUAGAAACCCUAGUAGUCC
rnacentral:rRNA from 1 species